rnacentral:rRNA from 1 species
UACGGGAGGCAGCAGUGAGGAAUAUUGGUCAAUGGACGAGAGUCUGAACCAGCCAAGUAGCGUGAAGGAUGACUGCCCUAUGGGUUGUAAACUUCUUUUAUACGGGAAUAAAGUGAGGCACGUGUGCCUUUUUGUAUGUACCGUAUGAAUAAGGAUCGGCUAACUCCGUGCCAGCAGCCGCGGUAAUACGGAGGAUCCGAGCGUUAUCCGGAUUUAUUGGGUUUAAAGGGAGCGUAGGCGGACGCUUAAGUCAGUUGUGAAAGUUUGCGGCUCAACCGUAAAAUUGCAGUUGAUACUGGGUGUCUUGAGUACAGUAGAGGCAGGCGGAAUUCGUGGUGUAGCGGUGAAAUGCUUAGAUAUCACGAAGAACUCCGAUUGCGAAGGCAGCUUGCUGGACUGUAACUGACGCUGAUGCUCGAAAGUGUGGGUAUCAAACAGGAUUAGAUACCCUGGUAGUCCACACAGUAAACGAUGAAUACUCGCUGUUUGCGAUAUACAGUAAGCGGCCAAGCGAAAGCGUUAAGUAUUCCACCUGGGGAGUACGCCGGCAACGGUGAAACUCAAAGGA